CCUACGGGGGGCAGCAGUGGGGAAUAUUGGACAAUGGGCGAAAGCCUGAUCCAGCCAUGCCGCGUGUGUGAAGAAGGCCUUCGGGUUGUAAAGCACUUUCAGUGGGGAAGAAAGCCUUGGGUCUAAUACCCUCGAGGAAGGACAUCACCCACAGAAGAAGCACCGGCUAACUCCGUGCCAGCAGCCGCGGUAAUACGGAGGGUGCGAGCGUUAAUCGGAAUUACUGGGCGUAAAGCGCGCGUAGGCGGUCUGAUAAGCCGGUUGUGAAAGCCCCGGGCUCAACCUGGGAACGGCAUCCGGAACUGUCAGGCUAGGGUGCAGGAGAGGAAGGUAGAAUUCCCGGUGUAGCGGUGAAAUGCGUAGAGAUCGGGAGGAAUACCAGUGGCGAAGGCGGCCUUCUGGACUGACACUGACGCUGAGGUGCGAAAGCGUGGGUAGCAAACAGGAUUAGAUACCCCAGUAGUC
rnacentral:rRNA from 1 species